GUGUCAGCCGCCGCGGUAAUACAGAGGGUGCGAGCGUUAAUCGGAUUUACUGGGCGUAAAGGGCGCGUAGGCGGUUCCAUGAGUGUGAUGUGAAAGCCCUGGGCUUAACCUAGGAAGUGCAUCGCAAACGAUGGAACUGGAGUAUAUGAGAGGGUGGCGGAAUUUCCGGUGUAGCGGUGAAAUGCGUAGAGAUCGGAAGGAACGUCGAUGGCGAAGGCAGCCACCUGGCAUAAUACUGACGCUGAGGCGCGAAAGCGUGGGGAUCAAACAGGAUUAGAUACCCUGGUAGUCCACGCUGUAAACGAUGAUAACUAGAUGUUGGUAGGGGAACCUAUCGGUAUCGAAGCUAACGCGAUAAGUUAUCCGCCUGGGAAGUACGGCCGCAAGGUUGAA
rnacentral:rRNA from 1 species